UUUACAGUCUAUGGUUCAGCUGCAUUUCAUUUCCCUGCGUCUCUCACUCACGCGUCUCUCUCACAUGCUUGCGCGCGCACAGCCCAUCCCCUCCGUGCACACCGCGCCUCCAUGAGAACGAGUGUUGGAAGCAAGUUCGCGAAAGGGUGGCUGACACUGGUGUGGAACGAGCCCUCGCAACCACACUAUUCAUUGACCUUGACAGCCAUGUUAAACGAUCAUAUCGUCGAGACAAGAAAGACUGUCUCUUACGAAUAGGGGCAGAGGUCCAGGACGCAGCAGACCACGGAGACUCUAGAACGCUCCUACUGACCACAGCUGAACAGGAUAAAAGCUUGUACGGAUUGCCAAAGUCCUAGGCACAGAGGACCUCUACGACUACAUCGACAAAUACAACAUUGAGCUCGACCCACGGUUCAACGACAUUUUGGGAAGACAUUCCCAGAAAAGGUGGGAACGGUUUGUCCACAGCGAGAACCAGCAUCUGGUCAGUACCGAAGCUCUGGACUUCCUGGACAAACUGUUGCGUUACGACCACCAAGCUCGCCUCACCGCCCGCGAGGCCAUGGAGCACCCU